CCCUUAGAUGUUCUGGGCCGCACGCGCGCUACACUGUUCGACGCAGCGAGUCUUAACCUUGACCGAAAGGUUUGGGUAAUCUUCAGCAAAGUCGAACGUGAUGGGGAUCGAUCAUUGCAAUUAUUGAUCGUGAACGAGGAAUUCCUAGUAAGUGCAAGUCAUCAGCUUGCGCUGAUUACGUCCCUGCCCUUUGUACACACCGCCCGUCGCUCCUACCGAUUGAGUGAUCCGGUGAGGCUCUGGGACCUGGACGGAAAGAGCGUUUCGCUUGUUCUGUUUGGGAAACUUGGUCGAACCUUAUCAUUUAGAGGAAGGAGAAGUCGUAACA
rnacentral:rRNA from 1 species